ACAUUCUAAUGAUUUACUUAAAACAAAUCAUUAAUUAUUGACCUUCAGUAAAUAAUUCACACAGCCGAGUUGUAUUUUCAAAGUGAUCUCGUCGAUUGGUGCGUGUCAAUCAGAUCCCUGGUUCAGUAGUCAGGGCGUCGGCCAUUUUAAGGGUUGUCUCAAUCGCAAAAUCCCACACUGCACCAUAAAAACCAGGGAGCGUCAAUGCUCACUAUGUUCCCUUACUGGAAAUGAUGUCAUGUUUUCUGAAGAGCCUCUCAGCCUCUCACAGUUCUCAAGAACUCUCAGUCAACUUCCAGCUACAAAUUCAUUAAAACUGAAAAUCUACACUUGCAUCUGUCUCUGCCACCAAACCAUGACAGAAGGGUCGCAGGAAACCAGGAUCCUAUCCCAAGGAAUUUGGGCACCCCUGGACAGUGUGCCAACAAAUCUUGGGGCACACACAUUCACACACUAUAAACAAUUUAGAAGUGUGAAUCAGUCUACAACGCAUGUCUUUGGACUGUGGGAGGAAACCAGAGUACCCAGAGGAAAUCCCCGAACGAAUCACAGGGAGAACAUGCAAAGGUCGGAGUCGAACCCCCAACCCCGGAGGUGAGAGGCAAACAUGCUAACUACUUUUUAUAUGAUGACCGUGUCUUCCACUUUGAAUCUGCCACUCUAUGAAGGAUCGCCCCAAAACAAUCACAGCUUGUUAGCUAUUGGGCACAAAAAAACCAAAUCAAAUUUCACCAAAGUUGAACUUGGAGUGAACCUCAUAUGCAACACUGUAUGAGUAUUGAAAUGUACGUUUCCCUGACAGGAUGACUUCCAAUGAAAUAAAUAUGUUUGCAUGUAAAUUCAUGGAAAAUUGAGAUCUAUAGCAUUGAAAGAUCCAAAUAUUGUUAUUAGUUAGAAAGGAUUUGCCCACUCUACCCUACAGCAGCGGGUCUUAUAAAAGGUGUCUGAAAAGUCAGGAACCAUGUUAGACAAAUGUGUCUAUCUGGAUAUGUUGAGAAAAAAAAUGAGAAAUAGUGGCUGAGAAAAUACGUAGAGAGUCAGGAUGAACAUGUUGAGCAUACAGUAUGUUGUAAAUAAUA
ensembl:lncRNA